AGAGCCGCCAUCUCGCGGAGUGCUUUUCUCUCAGAGAGGGAGGAACAAGCCGCUUGGCAGAUGCAGAGCGGAGUGUGCGGGUUGGGAUGGAGGGUUUCACCAUGUCCUGGAUGUAGACUGGACCUGAUCCAUUCACAGCAUGGUUCGCACCUUCUACACGGAGGUCCUGAACGAAGAGGAGCGCCAGAGACUUUGCCAGAACAUGGCAGGGGCCCUGAAGGGAGCCCAGCUCUUCAUCCAAAAACGUGUUUAACAGUUCAGUUCUCUGAAUGUGUUAGAAUUUAUUUUAUAUAAGUUGAUUUUGAGUAAUAUUCCCAGCGCGUGUUCUCCAUUUCUUCAUCAGUAAAUCUGUGAUGGAUACCGUGGUCUAUUAAAGAAAGCCGUGGACGCGCACUUAUCCCAGCUAUGUGCACCUGGAUUGACUUGGCUCCCCCUUCUCAACCGGUUAAGCAGCAACGAGCAGAUCACACUAAGUGAAGCUGCUACUUUUUAUCUUAUCCUGGACAUCUUUAUUCUACUUUUGUGCAAUACCCCCCUGGUAAGCUUCGUCACGAAACAAAGGGAUGUGGCUUUCUCUGCGUGCCUGUGCUAAGGACUUAGAAAGGCCUUAGAAAAGUAUAGUAUUUUUCUACAAUGCAAUAAUCAGUUGAGCAAUAACACCAAUAUAUCUUUUUUUUUUCACUACGCUAUUAUGAACCAACUCUUUUCUUUGCCAGAAGAAGAAAACAAACCCAGCGAUUCAAAAUGUCUUGUCAACAUUAAUCAUCAGUCUGGGUUUAAAUUAGUAAAAUACCUUGAUGUAAUGCAUCGUCAUCUCACGGCUGGGCUAAUUUUACUGCUUUAUUCCACCACGAGCAAUGAUCAGUUUUCAUAAUUUGGAUGAUUGUCAUUGGUAAAACAGUUCCUGUUCUACUUUUAUUAUUUUCCCUGUUUGCAUAUCUAGUGGAAGAUGAGCCUUCAUUUCCAUUAGAACUACAACAAUAGUGCCUUUUUGUGGACUAAAACAACCAAAUGCUGUUAUUUUGACCUUUUUUAAACAAGAAGAAUUACUUAUGAAUUACUUACAGUUUGAUGUGCUUGUUU